CUGGCAGUAAGUGCCUCUCCAUCCUGAGACUGGCAUCACCCUUGUUACUGAUUUUGUGGCCAAUCUUAUUUCAAAACAAUUAUGUAAUCCUUCUCAUUUUUUUCUUUAAAAACCUCUGUCUUUCCUUUACGUCUCGGAGAACACACAUAGUUUACUUUGGCAUGUACAUUCUCAUUGCAGUGCAUUAUUUCCAUAUAAACAUCUUUUAUUUUAGAGAGCCUCUCUGUUACUUAGGUUGACAGGUCCUGUUUUAUUUUAAGUCUAGUAUCUGUUAGUUAUUUUUCCUGAUCUUCUUACUCCUCCCACCCUCUACCCUCCAGUAGGCCCCAGUGUAUGGACAGAUAGUGUUCUAAGGAAAUAAAGCCAAAUUAAAAAAAAGGUUAUA
rnacentral:lncRNA from 1 species